rnacentral:rRNA from 3 species
AAAUUGAAGAGUUUGAUCAUGGCUCAGAUUGAACGCUGGCGGCAGGCCUAACACAUGCAAGUCGAACGGUAACAGGAAGCAGCUUGCUGCUUCGCUGACGAGUGGCGGACGGGUGAGUAAUGUCUGGGAAACUGCCUGAUGGAGGGGGAUAACUACUGGAAACGGUAGCUAAUACCGCAUAACGUCGCAAGACCAAAGAGGGGGACCUUCGGGCCUCUUGCCAUCGGAUGUGCCCAGAUGGGAUUAGCUAGUAGGUGGGGUAACGGCUCACC